GUUGGGCGGCCCCACCCCAAACAACAGGCCGGCACCUUGCCGGGAAAUCUGAACACAGCCACUAACAAUUCAACAAUGUUGUAACGGAGGAAACUGAAUGUGAUGUGAACACGUGGUCUUGAGGAAAUUAUCUCUGCAUCAUCAACAUGGAGGACAAUGUGGUCGCGAGCCUGACGGGCAGAGAUAGGGUCACACUUCCUCUGUCACACAAAAAUGUAUACUUUAGGAGUCAUCUCCUCGUGGCAACUAUUACCCAGCAGAUCACCUGCCCCUGGAGAGGUGACGGUCCUCUCACCUAGCACCUGCUGCUGUUUGACAUCACAUGCCUCACAGAUCCCAUCUCCGCAUCUGGACAACACCAGAUGUUCCAGAAUAAUUUUUCAAACAGGUGAAAGUUCCCCUCGCAGCUGAACCUCCACUUGCUCCACGUUUCUUCUAAUCUAGACACAUCAAGACGUGCAUGCAAUCACCGCUCAGAUAUUUCUUACUUGAAAACCUUCACUGCAGUGAGGGGAGGUGAAAGCCCAGAGGGAGGGAUAGCAGAGUACCUUUUUUUUCCCCCCCAAUCAUUUCAUUUGCCCCCUGCUGAAAAAUAAGACUUUAACCUGAUCCUGAAAGGUAGCAUGUCCUGAAUGCAUCACAAUGUCCAAAAAGCAGAUGGCUGUCUAGCAAGGCAACAAUUCUUUCUCUGAAACGCUGAAUAAUACAUGCAUAUCUUGCUGUGAUCCAGCGAAUUCAAUAGCCUAUAGAAAAGGAUUGCUCUCAACGUAAACCAUUUUGCUAGAGGCCGUUCUCUUUCCUCAGGUCCAGUCUCCCAUAAAUAAUUUGCCUUCAACCUUCACAUGCAUAAAAAUUGCAACUUGUUGGUUAUGAGAGAGAACAGUGAGGAUGCACUUUGAAUGCCAAUGUGGCGAUGAAUAAACAAUGGCUCACUGCUCCAGGAGCAAUGCAGAGCUGCCAGGAGACAUUGCUUUGAGUCCGCAGGCUCUCUUAAUGGUUUCUACCAAAGACCAAGCCUUUCACUCAGCUGUGAAUGGGAGGCUGUUUUGAUCUGGAGGGGAACACUUUAAUAAUUUCUAACAAAGCAACAAUUCCCAAGGCGUUUUGGACAACCUUGGCUGAUUCUUUUUGAUUAUCCUCCAGCCACUUCACUCACUUGAGACCCUGAUUGAAUGGGCUUUCUACAGCAACAAGCUUAUGGAAAAUGAGGAAUGGCCUCAUACCCACUGUCAGAGCAUGUCAUCUGCAGCUAAGGUCACUCCUUUUGCCAACUGGAGGGCUCUUUCACUUUGAAUAAAGUAACUAUUUAUUCAAUAUGUUUCCACAGAUCUGGACAGUUCUUGUUAUAAUUUCCCCUGAAAUUCAAAAGCAAUACAAACAAUUAAAUAGUCUGGAUUCUCUGCAGUGUCGCUGUACAGAUAUGUGAUGUUGACAGGCAAACUCUAAGUCUCUAAUAUACCCCACAAUGCAAUAGGGGUGUUGUAAUCUUGUUGUAGUGCUACAGUGCCACCUGGUGGUGACUAGACACCACUGUGCAAGUACUUCAAUAUAGUAGCUCUCAACCUGAACCUAGGGGUCAGGCUGCAAGAUAAUUUAAUGAUUAAGUGGGUGGAAAAAAUACACAUUAUUUUAACUUUGUUCUGGGGCCUUUGCUUGAUCUUUUUUUUUUCCAGAAAUAUAAAAAUCAAGCAACAUGAAAAUAGAAAAACUCUGAAUUCACUCAGUUUGUGCCUAUUUGCUAUGACAUAAGUAUUUAUCCUAAUUUGUUGUCACUACUAGAGUCACACACAAACACAAACUAAAUUAAUCAGUAAAUAAUUAAUUUAUCGUUUUAACUUUUUAAAGCAUAAUACUAAAUAUUUGCUGUUUCUAAGCAUCUUAAAUUCAAUUUGAUUUCUUUGUCCAACAUGAGGGAAAUGUAUUCAUGGGUGUUGUUCUGUUGAUCAGAGUUUUGUUCUGUUGACACUAAAUAUAUAUAUAUAAAAAAAAGAUGAAUCAAUUAACCAAAUAAAUUAUCAGCCAAUUAUCAGCCAAUUAUCAAUCUGCAAAUAAUUGCUGUCCUAGAAUACUCUUCUACUUUGAGUUGUGUGCAUAAAUACAGUGUUCAGCUAUUUAUAUCCCAACAUUUUCAGAUUUUUUUUAGCAACUGUUUAUUAAUUGUAAUUUAAUAAAUUUUUUGUCUGUAAAUAUGCAUGUAAUUAGGUUAAUAACAGAGCUCCUUUUAACAAUAAAAAUAU